rnacentral:lncRNA from 1 species
GGCAGAGGGUGGGAGGAGACGGGCUGGCCGAGGGGCAGAGAAAAGGCAGGAAGGAAGCUGAUAUAAAAAAAAAAAAAUCUAUCUUGAGAAACAAUUCCUCUCCAUCUUUAAACCUAUGAAACUCAAAAAAUAAAAUCUGCUCUUGAAAUCUAAUGAUUAGACAGGCAUAGAAUACCAGUUAUAGACAUUCUGGCUAAAAGGGGAGAAAAUUUAAAGGAAAAAAGAAGUCACUAGUUCAAAAUAUUUUCAAAAUUCAGCUGUUUAAACUUCCUUUGUAUUACAUAAAAUUAAUUAUUAUUAUAUAAAUAUUAUUUUAUUUAAUGAUGGGAUUAUAGUAUUUCUUUGUGUGUGUAAUAAAACUUGAAACAACCUUACAACAAAUUUAAUUGCUUAAUCCUUACCUUCCUCUGAGUUAACCUGACAAGUAAACUUUGAUUGGUUUUUUCUAUAAGUAUUUUAGACAUUAAGUUGCCACAUAUUACAUGUUUAUUUUGGUUUAGCUGUGUGUUCCUGGGAUCAAUCUAGCACCAGCUUUCUUUACUGAUAUCUGACUAAAUAUUCUCAGAAUUGGAUNAUGUUAAAUCUUUUUUUUUUUUUUUUUUUUUUUUUUUUUUUUUGUCUUUUUAGGCCACAGGCUGGGGUCGAAUCGGAGCUGUUGCUGCUGGCCUACGCUAGAGCCACAGCAAGGCCAGAUCUAGCCAUGUCACGGCAACACCUGAUCCUUAAACCUACUGAGCAUGGCCAGGGAUUGAACCCUCAAUCUCAUGGUUCUAGUUGGAUUCGUUUCCUCUGUGCCACGACAGGAACUCCAGAAUUGGAUACCUUUAAUAUCUUCAUGGAAACUUCAUUUUGGCCUUUUGUCAAGGUCCUUAGGCAUUUGUCUACCUUGAGAGUUCCAGAAGCAACAACAUUGACAUUAACCCAUAUGGGGACCUUAGUUGAGGAGGAGGUGGCAGUACAGCAGUGGGAAGAGGACAGAUCUGUUAAUUUUUGCAUCUAUAGUUCUAUUUUUGGUAGUUUACUUAGAAAGUCACCUCCUAUCUGACUUUAUAAUGUCUUGUCCUAUUGUUUUAAUCACAGUACUAUUAAGACCUUAUUCUUAACUUUACGUUUUUUUAAUUCAGUGAAUUUUAUGUUUAUAGUUGUAUAAUCACUAUCACAACCUAAUUUUAGAACAUUUCCAUCUGAAACUCCCAGUCCAUCUCUCCCCCUCAGUCUUUCCCCUUUAGUAAGCACAAGUUUUUCAAAGUCUGUGGAUCUGUUUCUUUUCUGCAAAUAGGUAUUUUUUUUUUUUUUUUUUGGUCUUUGCUAGGGCCGCACCCAUGGCAUGUGGAGGUUCCCAGGCUAGGGGUCUAAUUGGAGCUGUAGCCACCAGCCUAUGGCACAGCCACAGCGAUGAGGGAUCUGAGCCACAUCUGCAACCUACACCACAGCUCAUGGGAAUGCCGGAUCCUUAACCCACUGAGUGAGGCCAGGGGCUGAAUCCUCAACUUCAUGGUUCCUAGUUGGAUUUGUUAACCACUGAGCCAUGACAGGAACUACUCAUUUUAGAUUCCACAUAUAAGUGUUUUAGCAUGUGAUGUUUGUCUCUCAUUGUCUGACUAACUUCACUUUAGCAUUAUAAUUUUUAGGCCCAUACAUGUUGCUGUAAAUGCCAUUAUUUCAUUCUUUUUUAUGGCUGAGUAAUAUGCCAUGGUAUAUAUGUAUCUCAUCUUCCUUAUCCACUCCUCUUUCGAUGGAAAUUUAGCUUUCUUCCAUUUCUUGGCUAUUGUGUACAGCACUACAAUGAACAUUGAGAUAUAUGUAUUUUUUUGAGUGAUGGUUUCCUCCAGAUAGAUGCCCAGGAGUGGGAUCAUAUGGUAGUUCUAUUUUUAGUUUUUUGAGGAACCCCCAUACUAUUUUCCAUAUUGGUUGUACCAUUUUACAUCCCUACAAACAGUGUAGGAGGGUUUCCUUUUCUCCACACCCUCUCCAGCAUUUUUUGUUUGUAGACUUUUUGAUGAUGGCCAUUCUGGCUGACCUCAUUGUAGUUUUGACUGAUAUUUCUAAAAUAAUUAGUGAUAUUGAGCACCAUUUCACGUUUUUUUUUUUUUUUUUUUUGGUGGGGGGCAUCCCUAUACCUUCUUUGGAGAAAUGUCUGUUUAUAUCUGCCCAUUUUUUAAUUUUUUUUUUCAUAUUGAGAUGCAGGACAUGUUUUUAUAUUUUGGAGAUUAAUCCCUUGUGAGGCACUUCAUUUGCAAAUAUUUUCUCCCAUUCUGUGAGUUGUCUUUUUGUUGAGGGUUUCCUUUGCUGUGCAAAAACUUUUAAGUUUAUAUUUUAACUUUAUAUUUUAUUUCAUCAGGAAUUAAUUUUAUUAUAUACUGUCUACCAAUAUCAUUUAUUAAAAAUUCCAUUGGUUUGCUAACUGAUCUGAGAUACUUCCUAUAUCAUGCAUUUAAUACAUGUUCUUGGGCGUGUUUCUGAUUUUUAUAUGUUGUUAUACUGAUGCUUAUGUCAGUAUCAUAAUGUUUUAAUUACUAUAUCUUUAGGAUAUAAGUUAAUAUUUUAUACAGCUAGGCCCUCAAAUUAUCCUUCCGGUAAUGUUUUUGCAAUUCUCAUAUUUUUCUGCUGUUGUUCUCCAAAUUAACUUAUGUAUCAUUUUGCAAAAUUCUGAAGAAAAAUCCCUUUGGUGUUUUGGAUAGCUUAUACAAAUGUGUUGAUUAACUCUGGGAAAAAUGUAUCUCUUUAUGUUACUAGCUCCUUUAAUUCAGUACUGUAAUAAGAUGCUACACAUCAUAUUUGAGCCUUAAUUUACUAUCUUAUUAAAGCUUUUAAUUUUCUGUGUUUGUCAGUAUUGAAAUUAGUUAUCUUUCUCUCUGUAUAUCAUACUUUUCUUUGUUAUUUUGAAUAAUUUUUUUUCUUUCUGACAGAUUCUAAAUUUAAAUUGCUAUUGAGCUGUUAAUUCUUGAUUAUUUUUUGACUCUCUUUUACUCAUUAUAUAAUUGUUGUAAUAUUUCAGAUGAUUCAGGUGAUUAUUUUAGGCUUUCCAAGUAAAAAGUAUAUGAUAUAUAAGGGUAGUUCUGCAUUUGUCUCUUUGUUUUAAAUAACUGUAGCCAUAAAGCGUUCUUAUUUUAUGAAAAUUAAGUAGAAUAUUUGUGUUUAUUAAUAGAAGUGACUCCAGAGUUUCAUAAUUAAAAUUUUGUUUUUUGGGGGUUCUCAUUGCGGCUUAGCAGGUUAUAAACCCUAUUAGUAUCCAUGAGAAUGUGGGUUCAAUUCUUGGCCUUGCUUAGUGGGUUAAAGAUCCGGCAUUGCCUUGAGCUGUAGUGAAGGUCGCAGAUGCAGAUAGGAUCUGGUGUUGCUGUGGCUGUGGUAAAGGCUGACAGCUGGAGCCUGGAAUCAAUCCAUAGGCCAGGAACUUCCAUAUGCUGCAAGUGCAGCCCUCAAGAGCAAAAUACAUACACACAUACAUAAAUAUUAAAAAAAUAAAACUGUGUUUCUGUGUUAAGAUAGUUUUUUU